rnacentral:rRNA from 1 species
AGUGAACGCUGGCGGUAGGCCUAACACAUGCAAGUCGAACGGCAGCACAGGAGAGCUUGCUCUCUGGGUGGUGAGUGGCGGACGGGUGAGGAAUACAUCGGAAUCUACUUUUUCGUGGGGGAUAACGUAGGGAAACUUACGCUAAUACCGCAUACGACCUACGGGUGAAAGCAGGGGACCUUCGGGCCUUGCGCGAUUGAAUGAGCCGAUGUCGGAUUAGCUAGUUGGCGGGGUAAAGGCCCACCAAGGCGACGAUCCGUAGCUGGUCUGAGAGGAUGAUCAGCCACACUGGAACUGAGACACGGUCCAGACUCCGAUGGGAGGCAGCAGUGGGGAAUAUUGGACAAUGGGCGCAAGCCUGAUCCAGCCAUACCGCGUGGGUGAAGAAGGCCUUCGGGUUGUAAAGCCCUUUUGUUGGGAAAGAAAUCCAGCUGGCUAAUACCCGGUUGGGAUGACGGUACCCAAAGAAUAAGCACCGGCUAACUUCGUGCCAGCCGCCGCAGUAA